UGUGUAGGCGGCCUGUUAAGUUCCGUGUGAAAUCUCCCGGCUCAACCGGGAGGGUGCGCGGAAAACUGGCGGGCUAGAGUGCGGGAUGGGAGAGUAGAAUUCCUGGUGUAGCGGUGAAAUGCGUAGAUAUCAGGAGGAAUACCGGUGGUGUAGACGGCUCUCUGGACCGCAACUGACGCUGAAACACGAAAGCGUGGGUAGCAAACAGGAUUAGAUACCCUGGUAGUCCACGCCCUAAACGAUGCAUAUUUGGUGUAGGUCAUUCAGUUGAUCUGUGCCGGAGCUAACGCGUUAAAUAUGCCGCCUGGGGAGUACAGUCGCAAGGCUGAA
rnacentral:rRNA from 1 species